AGCGAACGCUGGCGGCAUGCCUAACACAUGCAAGUCGAACGAGACCUUCGGGUCUAGUGGCGCACGGGUGCGUAACGCGUGGGAACCUGCCCUUAGGUUCGGAAUAACUCCCCGAAAGGGGUGCUAAUACCGGAUAAUGUCUUCGGACCAAAGAUUUAUCGCCUUUGGAUGGGCCCGCGUUGGAUUAGCUAGUUGGUAGGGUAAAAGCCUACCAAGGCUACGAUCCAUAGCUGGUCUGAGAGGAUGAUCAGCCACACUGGGACUGAGACACGGCCCAGACUCCUACGGGAGGCAGCAGUGGGGAAUAUUGGACAAUGGGCGAAAGCCUGAUCCAGCAAUGCCGCGUGAGUGAUGAAGGCCUUAGGGUUGUAAAGCUCUUUUACCCGGGAUGAUAAUGACAGUACCGGGAGAAUAAGCUCCGGCUAACUCCGUG
rnacentral:rRNA from 1 species